rnacentral:rRNA from 1 species
ACGUACACUCCUGCGGGAGGCAGCAGUGGGGAAUAUUGCACAAUGGGCGCAAGCCUGAUGCAGCCAUGCCGCGUGUAUGAAGAAGGCCUUCGGGUUGUAAAGUACUUUCAGCGGGGAGGAAGGCGAUAAGGUUAAUAACCUUGUUGAUUGACGUUACCCGCAGAAGAAGCACCGGCUAACUCCGUGCCAGCAGCCGCGGUAAUACGGAGGGUGCAAGCGUUAAUCGGAAUUACUGGGCGUAAAGCGCACGCAGGCGGUCUGUCAAGUCGGAUGUGAAAUCCCCGGGCUCAACCUGGGAACUGCAUUCGAAACUGGCAGGCUAGAGUCUUGUAGAGAGGGGUAGAAUUCCAGGUGUAGCGGUGAAAUGCGUAGAGAUCUGGAGGAAUACCGGUGGCGAAGGCGGCCCCCUGGACAAAGACUGACGCUCAGGUGCGAAAGCGUGGGGAGCAAACAGGAUUAGAUACCCCUGUAGUCCCAUG